rnacentral:lncRNA from 1 species
AGAAAAUUAACCGACCCAAUUCACCAAAAGGCUGCUAGAACAUGUUACAGAAACCUCUGACCCCAGCAUUUCACAAGUCCACCAUCACAAGAGAGAGAAAAAAACAAAAAAUUGAACUUUUUCUUUUUGGAUGAAGAAUCAAUAAAAACAAAUCCAACCCAAUAAAAAUUUAACUUGACAAAGCACAAAGCAAAGAUCUUUACAGCAAAAUGUGGCUCAAAACUUUGAUGGGUCUAAGAAUUUUUCACAAAAAUAUU